UACGGAGGGUGCAAGCGUUAUCCGGAUUCACUGGGUUUAAAGGGUGCGUAGGCGGGCAGGUAAGUCAGUGGUGAAAUCUCCAAGCUUAACUUGGAAACUGCCGUUGAUACUAUCUGUCUUGAAUACUGUGGAGGUGAGCGGAAUAUGUCAUGUAGCGGUGAAAUGCUUAGAUAUGACAUAGAACACCAAUUGCGAAGGCAGCUCACUACACAAUCAUUGACUCUGAGGCACGAAAGCGUGGGGAUCAAACAGG
rnacentral:rRNA from 1 species